UGUUUGAUGUUCUAACGUGGACCCGUGAUCCGGGUUGCGGACAGUGUCUGGUGGGUAGUUUGACUGGGGCGGUCUCCUCCUAAAGAGUAACGGAGGAGCACGAAGGUUGGCUAAUCCUGGUCGGACAUCAGGAGGUUAGUGCAAUGGCAUAAGCCAGCUUGACUGCGAGCGUGACGGCGCGAGCAGGUGCGAAAGCAGGUCAUAGUGAUCCGGUGGUUCUGAAUGGAAGGGCCAUCGCUCAACGGAUAAAAGGUACUCCGGGGAUAACAGGCUGAUACCGCCCAAGAGUUCAUAUCGACGGCGGUGUUUGGCACCUCGAUGUCGGCUCAUCACAUCCUGGGGCUGAAGUAGGUCCCAAGGGUAUGGCUGUUCGCCAUUUAAAGUGGUACGCGAGCUGGGUUUAGAACGUCGUGAGACAGUUCGGUCCCUAUCUGCCGUGGGCGCUGGAGAACUGAGGGGGGCUGCUCCUAGUACGAGAGGACCGGAGUGGACGCAUCACUGGUGUUCGGGUUGUCAUGCCAAUGGCACUGCCCGGUAGCUAAAUGCGGAAGAGAUAAGUGCUGAAAGCAUCUAAGCACGAAACUUGCCCCGAGAUGAGUUCUCCCUGAGACUUAGAGUCUCCUGAAGGAACGUUGAAGACGACGACGUUGAUAGGCCGGGUGUGUAAGCGCAGCGAUGCGUUGAGCUAACCGGUACUAAUGAACCGUGAGGCUUAACCUUACAA
rnacentral:rRNA from 2 species